UCAGAUUGAACGCUGGCGGCGUGCUUAACACAUGCAAGUCGCGCGUGAAAGGACUUCGGUCCGAGUAAAGUCGGCGCACGGGUGAGUAACGCGUGGAUGAUCUACCCAUGAGUUAGGAAUAACGGCUGGAAACGGUCGCUAAUACCAAAUACGCUCCGAUUUCAACUUCGGGGGAAAGGUGGCCUCUGCUUGCAAGCUACUGCUCAUGGAUGAGUCCGCGUCCCAUUAGGCUAGUUGGUGGGGUAACGGCCCACCAAGGCGACGAUGGGUAGCCGGUCUGAGAGGAUGACCGGCCACACUGGGACUGGAACACGGCCCAGACUCCUACGGGAGGCAGCAGUGGGGAAUAUUGCGCAAUGGGCGAAAGCCUGGACGCAGCGACGCCGCGUGAGGGAAUGAAGGUCCUCGGAUCGUAAACCUCUGUCAGGAGGGAAGAACCGCCACGGUGCUAAUCAGCCGUGGUCUGACGGUACCUCCAAAGGAAGCACCGGCUAACUCCGUGCCAGCCGCCGC
rnacentral:rRNA from 1 species